rnacentral:rRNA from 1 species
GACGAACGCUGGCGGCGUGCUUAACACAUGCAAGUCGAGCGGUAAGGCCCUUUCGGGGGUACACGAGCGGCGAACGGGUGAGUAACACGUGGGUGACCUGCCCUCAGCUCUGGGAUAAGCCUGGGAAACCGGGUCUAGUACCGGAUAUGACUCCAUGACGCAUGUUGUGGGGUGGAAAGCCUUGUGCGGCUGAGGAUGGGCCCGCGGCCUAUCAGCUUGUUGGUGGGGGAUGGCCUACCAAGGCGACGACGGGUAGCCGGCCUGAGAGGGCGACCGGCCACACUGGGACUGAGACACGGCCCAGACUCCUACGGGAGGCAGCAGUGGGGAAUCUUGCGCAAUGGGCGAAAGCCUGACGCAGCGACGCCGCGUGAGGGAUGACGGCCUGG